GUUUGAGUGGGUUUUUCCCACUUUUUCCACCUCCAACUUCAUUAUCCUCUUGGUGUUUGGUGUUAAGCUGAUUUGCUGUCUUAAUUGCAUGACUAAGUUGUCUAAAAAAUUAGAAAACUUCAGCUGAAAAGGAUGAUGCAUUUUGAGGUUUUUGUUGAAGAACAAGAAGAAAUGUUCUUCAACCUAAGAACAUAAAACUAGAAUAAAAGACUCUCUUUUAUUCCCUUCAAUUCCAACUCAUUUUGGGUUCCACCACCUAAUCUAAGGUUUUAAAGGAUAGUAGGGAAGAUCAAGUGGUGGUCUACAAGUAUUUGGAGUGAAGAUUCAAGCUAGAUUUGAAGAUUGAAGAGUUUUUUAAAGGAAAGAACAAGUGCUUCAAGAUAAGACUAUUCCUCUAGUAAAAGUGCUAUGGAGAAAUCAUGGGAUGCAAGAGGCCACCUGGGAUACAGAAAAGCAAAUGAGAGACAAAUACCCACAUCUCUUGUACGAGGAAGCUUAAGGCAAAUUUCAAGGAUGAAAUUUUUCUAAGGGGAAGCUAGCAGUCGAUGCCCCAAGGCCUAGCAAUUCUGCUAGUCAGUCACUACUCAGGGAUCAUAUAGGCUUGAAGUUUAGGUGGUCCACUAUGUCCUUUUUAGACCCUAUUCCGAAAAAAAAAAUGUAGCAAUUGAAGAAGAAGAAGGAGAAAAAGAACUAUUGAAGAAGGAGAAGGAGGAGGAACACCUUACCGAUUGAAUCAAAGAAGAAGAGAAAGAACUGCUCGUCGUCGAUCUUUCACAAUUCAAUUGAAGAAGAAGAAGCAGCCGACUGUAGAACUCGAAGAAGAAGAAGGACUCAAUCGUUCAAUUGAAUGUUGAGGUUGAAGAAAUUGACAAUGAGAAAUGGGGAAAAUUAGGGUAGUUUGGGUAUUUUAAAAUUUAUUAAAAUUUCGUG